UACGGGGGGGGCAAGCGUUGUUCGGAAUUACUGGGCGUAAAGGGCUCGUAGGCGGCCAACUAAGUCAGACGUGAAAUCCCUCGGCUUAACCGGGGAACUGCGUCUGAUACUGGAUGGCUUGAGUUCGGGAGAGGGAUGCGGAAUUCCAGGUGUAGCGGUGAAAUGCGUAGAUAUCUGGAGGAACACCGGUGGCGAAGGCGGCAUCCUGGACUGAUACUGACGCUGAGGAGCGAAAGCCAGGGGAGCAAACGGG
rnacentral:rRNA from 1 species